rnacentral:miRNA from 1 species
CCUCAGAUCAGAGCCUUGC